rnacentral:miRNA from 1 species
UUGUCCCUGUACUACGAUCAUC